AUGAACAAAUUACAUGACGGAUUUCCCCGGUUACGGGACGCCAGUACCGUCAGCUGUCCCAGGCCUGUCCGUGACACCGGCGUGCAUGAGCAGCGCCCAGACGAGGGUGACGAACUCCCCGCCGCGCCCCAUGGCCUCGACGUGGCCCUUGACGUUCUUCGACGGUGCGACGAAGAGCACCAUCUCCGACCAGAAAUCCGCCAGGAACCGCCAUGCCGCCGCCUCAUCCUCGGCGUACGCCUCCACCAGGCGGCUCCCAAGCUCGGCGCCGCGCUGCAGCACCUCGUCCCUGCUGGUCGCGCUCAGCUCCUUGAGCAGCCGCUCGUACCUUUGCGCCGUCGACUCGCUGGCGCCGUCGUCGUCCUUUCCCAGCGCCGCCUUCACGUCCGCCACCACUUCCUUGUACCGCUUGUCGGUCCACGCCGGACUGUCCGGCAGCAGCCCCGGCGAGGCCGCCACCAGGUACGCGCAGUAGUAAGACAAAUGGCAGGCGGCUGUCAUGUCGGCCGCCGCCAACGUUGGACACGCCGCGUUCGAGUACUUGAUCUCGAAGAGCCUCGCGCCGAUGUGGCAAGCGAGGAUAUGCUCCGUGGUGCUGCUGGUGCCGCUGCCGCUUCCGGCACCGAUGGCCGGCCACGCCCAGCUGUCAACCUUGCCGCCGAGGCCUACCCGGUGCGCGGCGAGGGUGCUUCCUUUGUCCAGUCCCCCAUAGCUACUCUUCAAGGACCUGAGCACCGCGUCCUUAACGGCCUGGGAGAGUUCCACCGACCUCAUAAGCCCUGCGCGCCCAUACAGCUUCUCCGAGAAAAGCCCCGACCGUCGCCCGAAUCGGCGGGGCUCGAGCACCGAGGUCUGCCCGAUCUUGUCGCUCCAGCGCUUCGCGGGCCUGAAACGCAGCACCGUGUCCAGGGCCGCGUUGGUCCAACGACCGAGCGUGCCACUUCUGAUGUAAUGGCCGAUCAACGCCAUCUUGGUCCAGUUGGAGCACACGCCGGCGAUGAUCUCACACGCUUCGGUGAGCACGGCGGCGAGUAG
rnacentral:rRNA from 1 species